rnacentral:snRNA from 1 species
GUGUUCACUUUGGCAGCACGUAUGCUAAAAAAUUGGAACUAUGCAGAGAAGAUUAGCAUGGCUCCUAUGCAAGGAUGACACGCAAAUUCAUGAAGCAUUCCAUAUUUAA